rnacentral:lncRNA from 7 species
CCAGCUGAAGCAAAGACAGGUCACUGCUAGGGGGAAAAAAGAAUUCACCUUGCUUUCAAUCUGCAUUUGUUUAACUUCAGCUUUCAGACCACCUGAAGGGAGCAGCUCUAAAUGCUUCAGGGCGUGUGGUUGAACAGACUCCAACUACCAAGAUGGAGAAGCUGAAGUGGAUCACACUGGUCAGACACUUAUUGUGUAUACCACACAGCAAAUGUGACCAGAAGGAAUCUGACACAACCAACCCUUCCUUUGCAAUCAACGUGGGAUCCAAAACAAACCUUCGGCGCUCUCGGCAUCGCUGCCCAGGGAACCAGGCAUCCUGCAAAUAAACACUGAAUUGCAAAUCUGCGGUGAGUUGAGAAUAAAUCUGCUUCACCUGAAGUGGGGCAGAAAGUAGAGUUCAAGACUGCUCCUGAAUUGGUGGCCGCAAGCCAACACCUUUCGUGUUGGGGCAGUAUAAAAUGGUGCAGCUGACAGGCUGACCCACAAGGCGAGGAGAAGAAGGCAGUAUAACUUUUCCUAGAAUGCCUGUGCCCUGCUGAACGGCUCCAUCUGCCUCCAUGGCCACCAUUGCAGAGCCAGGACCGCAGCUUCCAAAGCACGAUGCUGAUCAGUGCUGUUGGUUGGGACGUAUUCCCACAACCGUUUUCUGUGCAUCUCCUGGAGUUUGCUCAUUUGCAGUCUGCAGGCUUCCUCGCUUGCCUUUCCAUUUACAUGUUUUCCUGCAGUCCGUUGCUUUUCACUUUGUGAUUUUUGUUGCUUUCUCUUCCUCCUGUGCGUGCAGCAGCACACCUUGCUCAGCCCCGCAGCAACAGCGUGCUCGUUAGCUGCAGCUCACAAACAGCAAAUGAACGAGGUCAUAAAACAUGUGCGCAGAGGAAAUUCCUUACAGCAUCGCAUCAAAACAUUUCCGAUCUGUUGUUGUGGUUUUGUUUUUGUUUUGUUUUGUUUUUUUUUAAUUUAGAAAGCCACGCACGCAAGCACUGGAGUGCCAUCUUUGCAUGUAAUUGCUUUUUUCCCCCUCCGUUGUCCUUGUGGUAGAGCAUCUGUUGUCUCAUUGCUGUCCUCCGUGGCUGUGGUGCCUCUCAGAGGCGCCUGCAUUGUGCUGAUGGAACACUUUCUGAUAUCUGUCUCUCAGUAUUCCUCAGGGUUUGUCACCCAUCACUUUCUGUCCCAUUUUGUCAUCUCUACACCUUGUCAUUUUGUUGGACCCUCCCAUCUUACCAUCAAUGCAGUGAUGAUGGUAGUUAGGAGAUGAAGGCUCCUUUCUAGAUCUCAUGGCUUGAGACACGAGGUGUCUGCAUCAUUUCCACUGCCCAGUUUGGCCAUUAAGGACUCUUCCAUGCACAGCACAGUGCAAAAGGGUGCCCUGUGUGACUACUGAGGCAACUCUAAGCAUAAGUGAUGCCAUUUGCUUAUGUAUCAUCAUCUGCCCAGAGACCUUCCAUACGUGGGAGAAGAGUUGCUUUUCCCAUGCCAGAGAUGGGGAAGUCUGAGGUGUUGGGAAGCGAUUUGUCCCAGAGUAGCAUUGAGGUUGCUUUGACAAUUGAAUUGAUCAGAAUGCAAUGGCCUUUGUGCUGUUGGUGAUGCCCCAUUGUGUCCCCAUUGCCUGCUAUGCCCACUUGUCACCUUCCCUCCGAAACACUCCAUGUUUUGAUGCUCUCCCUCCCUGCUGUUGCUUCUGCUUUCAAAGCUGGAGGUUUCACUGUUUAUUUUCUGUGGGCACCAGGUCAGAUUUAUCCCUAACAGAAGGCAACUGUUCCCAGUCCGUCCUUAGGUCUCCCUCUGUAUCCUGCUUGUCUCCUGGCUUCCACAUUGGAUCUGUCUCGCCCAGCAUCCUGUCUGGCACUGGAGGCUUCAGAGCCACAAGAAAGCCCCAAACUGCACUGAUAGGCUAACAACCCUCUUUGCUAGUGCCAGUACCUGCCUGGUGGCCAUGCCCCAUUGCAUCGUGCAGGAACCAGGGCAAUUUUAAAUUCCAAUCCUUUGGUACAGAGGAUGCAGUAGUUCCUUGAAAAGAUUUACUGCUAAUCUCUCCGGUGUCUGUGACAAAGGACAGUUUCUCAGCAUUACCUCAAAUGUUAAAAUAUUAAUGAGGAGAGGGUUUGGUGGCUGGCAAAGGCUUCCUUCGCUAUCACUGGAGAUGGGCUUAAUGAUCUCUGUGCCUUUGCUACUGCGAAAUGAACACCUUACACAGGAGAGAUUAGACAGACCUGACACCUUUAAUAAAAUAUGGCCUGUAUUUCUAGAGAUGUAUUUAAAGUCAUUUAAACCCUUUAAUGUUUUAUGAAAUAGCAAAGCUUUGUGUGAAUCUAUUUAGAAUAGUCUUUAAGCGCUGCAGUAGGUUUUAUUUCGACCCAGCUCCCAUUUGUAACGUGCUCACUCCCUAUAUCAUGUUUAUAUAGAUAUAAUUUUUUUCCACUCAGAUGACUUUUUGAAACGAAUAAAAUGCUCAUAAAAGG